rnacentral:lncRNA from 1 species
UCAUAUUCAAUAUUAUUUAGAAUUUAUCAAUUAUGUCCAUGUGCGUGCAAUGCAAACCUUAGUAUUUUAAAAGAAAAAAAUCAACCAAAAAAGUAGGACUUUAUUAGCAUCCAGAUAAAUUUCUUAAGGAGCAUUGGAAAACAAGAUUCACGCAUAUUAAACAUCUGCUUCAUUAUAACUGUUUAUUUCCACCAAAACCCUUUACUUGACUCUACAUAUAUGCUUUGUUUGGAGCUCUGAAAAAUUCAAGGGAAAAGAAUGGUUGUAGAAAAUUAAUAAAAAAAAAGGUAUAAAAUAAAUAAAUAAAUCAACACUGAAUUUUCAAUAUCACAUUCAGUUGAUUUUUAUUCAUUCAUUACCAAAAAAAAUUUAUUUUCAAUACCACAUUUAGUUGGCACCCAAAUGAACAACAUUCACAAUAUAAAGUUACAUCACGAGAAAUAUGAGAAUCUGAGCUUAUUGAUAGCAUAAGAGAAAGAUUAAAUGGGUUUUGUGAAGCAAACAGGGAGAAGAAAAGCAUCAUUGAAAAAAUGGGUUUCAAAAUCUUUAAAUUAGUUUUAGGGCAUAAAUAUAUACAUAUAUAUUAUCAAUAUUCGUACAUCAUAUAUACAAUAUGUGUAUGCAUACCUCUCUUGCUGCUGAUUUUAUUGAAUUUUGCUUCUGAUUUUGGGCGAAAAUUUGUAGAUGGCGAUUUUGGUGAGAAAGGGAGAGAUAGUGUGAUAUUGGUCGCAACGGGAGAGAGAGUCUGAUAUUUGGUAAAGGGAGAGAGAGGUGAAGUCUGACUUUGGUGAAGUUGCUAUAUAUUGACCUU